UGGAGCGCAGGGCGGCCAAAGCUCUCCUUUGUUUACGUAGAGAGGGCAAAAGUAGAUGGUUUUUCUUCAAGUGUGAGGACUAGACACAAGAGUAACCCUGCUGCUUCGAGAGAAGAUAUUUUCAGCAUAGGAUGUGAUCCCUCCUAACAGAAAACUCACUGCCAGCCCCCUGCCUCAGAAACUGCUGUUGUGAGCAACCAGCCUGAGUAAAAUCAGAAAGGGAGUCCUGGCAGAGCUUGUUUUUCUUCCCUGUGAUCACUGCUGCACUUACAGUGUAAUAUGCCAUUCACGGAUGUUAGCGGAAUCAAAAGAAGUUGUUGAAAAUCCUUGUUUCUGUUCACAGUCUUCAAAAAUGUCCUUCAGCAAAGACAGGAGGUAAGGCUUCUGUCGCUUUCUUUUACCUUGGGAUGC